rnacentral:rRNA from 1 species
GAUGAACGCUGGCGGCGUGCCUAAUACAUGCAAGUCGAGCGAACGGACGAGAAGCUUGCUUCUCUGAUGUUAGCGGCGGACGGGUGAGUAACACGUGGAUAACCUACCUAUAAGACUGGGAUAACUUCGGGAAACCGGAGCUAAUACCGGAUAAUAUUUUGAACCGCAUGGUUCAAAAGUGAAAGACGGUCUUGCUGUCACUUAUAGAUGGAUCCGCGCUGCAUUAGCUAGUUGGUAAGGUAACGGCUUACCAAGGCAACGAUGCAUAGCCGACCUGAGAGGGUGAUCGGCCACACUGGAACUGAGACACGGUCCAGACUCCUACGGGAGGCAGCAGUAGGGAAUCUUCCGCAAUGGGCGAAAGCCUGGCGGAGCAACGCCGCGUGAGUGAUGAAGGUCUUCGGAUCGUAAAACUCUGUUAUUAGGGAAGAACAUAUGUGUAAGUAACUGUGCACAUCUUGACGGUACCUAAUCAGAAAGCCACGGCUAACUACGUGCCAGCAGCCGCGGUAAUACGUAGGUGGCAAGCGUUAUCCGGAAUUAUUGGGCGUAAAGCGCGCGUAGGCGGUUUUUUAAGUCUGAUGUGAAAGCCCACGGCUCAACCGUGGAGGGUCAUUGGAAACUGGAAAACUUGAGUGCAGAAGAGGAAAGUGGAAUUCCAUGUGUAGCGGUGAAAUGCGCAGAGAUAUGGAGGAACACCAGUGGCGAAGGCGACUUUCUGGUCUGUAACUGACGCUGAUGUGCGAAAGCGUGGGGAUCAAACAGGAUUAGAUACCCUGGUAGUCCACGCCGUAAACGAUGAGUGCUAAGUGUUAGGGGGUUUCCGCCCCUUAGUGCUGCAGCUAACGCAUUAAGCACUCCGCCUGGGGAGUACGACCGCAAGGUUGAAACUCAAAGGAAUUGACGGGGACCCGCACAAGCGGUGGAGCAUGUGGUUUAAUUCGAAGCAACGCGAAGAACCUUACCAAAUCUUGACAUCCUUUGACAACUCUAGAGAUAGCGCCUUCCCCUUCGGGGGACAAAGUGACAGGUGGUGCAUGGUUGUCGUCAGCUCGUGUCGUGAGAUGUUGGGUUAAGUCCCGCAACGAGCGCAACCCUUAAGCUUAGUUGCCAUCAUUAAGUUGGGCACUCUAAGUUGACUGCCGGUGACAAACCGGAGGAAGGUGGGGAUGACGUCAAAUCAUCAUGCCCCUUAUGAUUUGGGCUACACACGUGCUACAAUGGACAAUACAAAGGGCAGCGAAACCGCGAGGUCAAGCAAAUCCCAUAAAGUUGUUCUCAGUUCGGAUUGUAGUCUGCAACUCGACUACAUGAAGCUGGAAUCGCUAGUAAUCGUAGAUCAGCAUGCUACGGUGAAUACGUUCCCGGGUCU